UACCCGCUGAUGAUCCCAUCCUUGCUCCCCAGGCCCUCCCGGGCAGUGGGCGACACUGUGGCUCCCCUGGGCUGGCCAGUUGGGCUGAUGCCUGGGGGCUGAGGGCA
rnacentral:snoRNA from 15 species